UGGCUCAGGACGAACGCUGGCGGCGUGCUUAACACAUGCAAGUCGAACGAUGAACCACUUCGGUGGGGAUUAGUGGCGAACGGGUGAGUAACACGUGGGCAAUCUGCCCUGCACUCUGGGACAAGCCCUGGAAACGGGGUCUAAUACCGGAUACUGAUCCGCUUGGGCAUCCAGGCGGUUCGAAAGCUCCGGCGGUGCAGGAUGAGCCCGCGGCCUAUCAGCUUGUUGGUGAGGUAGUGGCUCACCAAGGCGACGACGGGUAGCCGGCCUGAGAGGGCGACCGGCCACACUGGGACUGAGACACGGCCCAGACUCCUACGGGAGGCAGCAGUGGGGAAUAUUGCACAAUGGGCGAAAGCCUGAUGCAGCGACGCCGCGUGAGGGAUGACGGCCUUCGGGUUGUAAACCUCUUUCAGCAGGGAAGAAGCGAAAGUGACGGUACCUGCAGAAGAAGCGCCGGCUAACUACGUGCCAGCAGCCGCGGUAAUACGUAGGGCGCAAGCGUUGUCCGGAAUUAUUGGGCGUAAAGAGCUCGUAGGCGGCUUGUCACGUCGGUUGUGAAAGCCCGGGGCUUAACCCCGGGUCUGCAGUCGAUACGGGCAGGCUAGAGUUCGGUAGGGGAGAUCGGAAUUCCUGGUGUAGCGGUGAAAUGCGCAGAUAUCAGGAGGA
rnacentral:rRNA from 1 species